ensembl:lncRNA
CUUGCCUCAUAAAGCUGUGUUAAAGAUGAGAUGAUUUGAUACACACAAAAUACCUGGAUAAGUGCUGAAUAACUUUAAUUUUUCCUCUCCUAUACUUCUGAAGAAGAAGUGGAGUCAUCCGGCAGCUUCUAACUCUAUAGACUCAAAUCUCUUAGCAUCCCUGAAAAGCAGUGCUUUGGUUACAGAUUAAAGAUGGAAUGCUGUAUUCUGUGUCAGAAAGAAUGCUGAGCAAUUUAAUUAGGGCUAUGGCUGGCAAGGGUAUUUUUUUAUAUCAACCUUGAUAUAAAAUCAUUUGUAACUGUAGGUAAAAAUAAAAUAAAUUCUAUAGGUAAAUUUGAUUUUUCACCUCUUGUUUUUCAGGUCAGAGACACUUUCUUGUAUUGAUAUAUGAAAUGGAGUCAUGGAGUCCUACUCAAGCUGGUAACACCUGUCUUUAACCUAAAAAUAUAAAGUUAACCCAACUUUACUUGGGAGUGCAUAAGUGGGAAUUCAGACUGGUCCUUUGUGCCUUAGACCUACAGCUUCUGCUUGGAGGGAUUUGUGAUGGAGAAAAACGUGUGGAUGCUUGGACAGGACCUCAUCGUUGGCCUUUGGAAUGAGAGGCCUGGUAUAUCAGGAGUGGCCCACAGCUACAUUUGUGCUCUGACACGUUGGGAAGCCCCCAUGAUCUGUUCAGAAGAGAGCUAUUCACAGCUCAUUGCCAGGAAGGGGACCUAUGUGAGCAAAGGGGUCAAGUCCAGUCAGCUGGAACUAAGUGAGAGGCAGUAUAAUUUCAAGUGAAUCUGCUCGGAAGACUGCAUAUCUCGUGAAGAAAAGGAAUCUGACUUUUAGGAGCAGUGAUAGUCUGUCACAUAAAACGUGCGUAGUGAAGAAGAUCGAACCUGACAUGGAUCGUGACCGUGGUCGGGACCAGAGAGAUGGUAUCCCCAGGUCUCUCCAGCUCUCUGAUCCAUGCAGAAGUGAGUAUAAUUUUUAGAAUAUUUUCUCUUAUUUCUGGGUUUAGAUUCCCUUUCCCUUUUCUUUAGACCCAGGUAAAGGUUUCCAGUAGGAGAUGGGUGUGGCAAGUUAUGUGACCAGUGAGUAACCUAAGAAGGAAUUUGGAAGAAGGGUCAAGAAAACUGACACUAUCUUGUGAACCAGGAAAAUCAUGGAAAGUUAUCAUUAAGCAACUACCGUGAUUUAACCUCACUCUUCCCCACCCUGCAAAGUGAGGCAUAUCUUUCAAGUUGAGGAACCAGGGUUCCGAGAGGCUAGUAAAUGGCAGGCUUGGAUUUGAAUCAAAGCACCACCCUCCGUCAGCCUUGCUCUGGUCCCACACUGUAAGUGGCUGCACAUGGGAGCCUUGACCGUCUGGAUGAGGCGUUUGAAUCUCCCAUAGCAAGCAGAACUUCAUAAGAAGGCAGAAGCUAAAUUUCCAUGACCUUGAAUUAAAUAUAGUACUUAAGCAGGAAUUAUGUCUCCCCUACUUUUUUCUUUACUGAUGGAAGGGGAGAAUAGAGAAGAGAAGGUGACUAGGUGCUUUUGGUGCUAAAAUAGGACAUGAGAACUCAUGCUUCCGCUGACAUCCUAAGAUAGAAGACACGAAGUGAGGCAUCAGACCGAGAUGAACAUGUUCAAAACAGGUGGCUGAGACCUGGGUGGGGUUCCCCUUCCCCCACAGGGAGUGAGGAUGCAGAAAGGGAUUUGGAAGGAAGUGUCUUUGGUGAAAAUCAUUGCUUUGCUAUGAGUCCCCCCCCGCCACACCCUAAGAGGAAAGGUUGAGGAGAGAUGCCUCUCCCUCCCCCUAAAACAAGUGGAGGGACAUUGAGUCCACUCAGUGAACUUGAUGUCAGUCUCAGCCACUGAAUAGACAAGUGUCUGAUUCAGAGCUGAAGAAGCAGAAAGCUUGCUUCCUGCUCUGAUGGUGGAUAUGAAGGAGGGCUGCUCCUGCCCUGGGUACUUCCUCCCAGAAUUUGUGGAGGCAAAGAGUGCGUGAGCAUCUCCAGGACCAGAUGCAGCCACACCAGAGGAAGGGCUGGCGUUUUAGACCUUGUCCAAGACGGGCCAUUAUAAAAGUGAGCAGACUAUUUAUUGCCUCAGGUGGGGGGCACACACGUUCACUCACUUAGAGACUUUUCAAGUGGUGCACUUAUGUAUAUGUUAUACUUCAGUCAAAACACCUUUUAAGAAAAGAAUAAAGAAGCCUCAUCAGAGAGAAGUGAAAGUAUU